CCUACGGGAGGCAGCAGUGAGGAAUAUUGGUCAAUGGACGAGAGUCUGAACCAGCCAAGUAGCGUGAAGGAUGACUGCCCUAUGGGUUGUAAACUUCUUUUAUAAAGGAAUAAAACGAGGCACGUGUGCCUUUUUGCAUGUACUUUAUGAAUAAGGAUCGGCUAAAUCCGUGCCAGCAGCCGCGGGAAUACGGAGGAUCCGAGCGUUAUCCGGAUUUAUUGGGUUUAAAGGGAGCGUAGAUGGGUUGUUAAGUCAGUUGUGAAAGUUUGCGGCUCAACCGUAAAAUUGCAAUUGAUACUGGCAGUCGUGAGUACAGUUGAGGUAGGCGGAAUUCGUGGUGUAGCGGUGAAAUGCUUAGAUAUCACGAAGAACCCCGAUUGCGAAGGCAGCUUACUAAACUGUGACUGACAUUGAUGCUCGAAAGUGUGGGUAUCAAACAGGAUUAGAUACCCGUGUAGUC
rnacentral:rRNA from 1 species